AGAGCGAACGCUGGCGGCAGGCUUAACACAUGCAAGUCGAGCGGGCGUAGCAAUACGUCAGCGGCAGACGGGUGAGUAACGCGUGGGAACAUACCUUUUGGUUCGGAACAACAUAGGGAAACUUGUGCUAAUACCGGAUAAGCCCUUACGGGGAAAGAUUUAUCGCCGAAAGAUUGGCCCGCGUCUGAUUAGCUAGUUGGUGAGGUAACGGCUCACCAAGGCGACGAUCAGUAGCUGGUCUGAGAGGAUGAUCAGCCACAUUGGGACUGAGACACGGCCCAAACUCCUACGGGAGGCAGCAGUGGGAAUAUUGGACAAUGGGCGCAAGCCUGAUCCAGCCAUGCCGCGUGAGUGAUGAAGGCCCUAGGUUGUAAAGCUCUUUUGUGCGGGAAGAUAAUGACGGUACCGCAAGAAUAAGCCCCGGCUAACUUCGUGCCAGCAGCCGC
rnacentral:rRNA from 1 species